AAUAGCGUAUAUUAAGUUGCUACAGUUAAAAAGCUCGUAGUUGGAUUUCUGGCCUGAAACAUUUUGCCGGCCACGGUUUCGUGUGUUAGUGCUUUGUGUUCUGGCCAUCCUUCCAAUCGCUAUUCAGCUUUCUUCAUUGAUUGUUGAGUGGUAUUGGAUCUUUUACUUUGAAAAANUUAGAGUGUUUCAAGCAGGCUUUAUGCUAUGAAUACAUUAGCAUGGAAUAAUAAUUUAGGACUUCGGUUCUAUUUUGUUGGUUUCUAGGACUGAAGUAAUGAUUGAUAGGGAUAGUUGGGGGUGCUAGUAUUCAGCGGCCAGAGGUGAAAUUCUCGGAUUCGCUGAAGACUAACUUAUGCGAAAGCAUUCACCAAGGAUGUCUUCUUUAAUCAAGAACGAAAGUUGGGGGAUCGAAGACGAUCAGAUACCGUCGUAGUCUCAACCAUAAACUAUGCCGACUAGGGAUGAGUGAACGUUGCAUUUUCGACUUCAUUCGCACCUUAUGAGAAAUCAAAGUCUUUGGGUUCCGGGGGGAGUAUGGUCGCAAGGCUGAAACUUAAAGGAAUUGACGGAAGGGCACCACCAGGAGUGGAGCCUGCGGCUUAAUUUGACUCAACACGGGAAAACUUACCAGGUCCAGACACAGUAAGGAUUGACAGAUUGAAGAUCUUUCUUGAUUCUA
rnacentral:precursor_RNA from 1 species